UAUGUGAUCGUCUCUCGCAUAUCAAUAAGCGGAGGAAAAGAAACUAACAAGGAUUCCCCUAGUAACGGCGAGUGAAGCGGGAAGAGGCUCAAAUUUGAAAUCUUAAAGGGUUUCCCUUUACGAAUUGUAGUUUAAAGAAGUGUUUUCUGUUGAGGUUUUGGUAAAAGUUCUUUGGAAUAGGACAUCAUAGAGGGUGAGAAUCCCGUAUUUGACCUUUACUUUCAACUUUGUGAUACAGCUUUCAAAGAGUCGGAUUGUUUGGGAAUGCAGUCCAAAAUGGGUGGUAAAUUUCAUCUAAAGCUAAAUAUUGGCGAGAGACCGAUAGCGAACAAGUACCGUGAGGGAAAGAUGAAAAGAACUUUGAAAAGAGAGUUAAACAGUACGUGAAAUUGUCAAAAGGGAAGCGUUUGACACCAGUGUUGUUUUUCUGAAAAUCAAUUAAAGAACUGUUUAUGCUAAGCUGUUUAGACUUUAUCAGCUGAUCUGUUUAGUUUUGAGCUUUUCUUUAAUGCACUUUUCAGUUAACAAGUCAACAUCAAUUUCUUUUGCUGUAAAAAAGCUUGAGGAAGGUGGCUUGAGAUUCGUCUUAAGUGUUUAUAGCCUCUUGCCUAUGCAGUCGGAGAGAUUGAGGUCUGCAGCGUAGAUCCUUCGGGGCUAAAUGCAUUUGUGCUAAGUUAUAGCAUUUUAUAGACAACUUGUUGACUAUGAUUUGUCUUGUAGCUUACUCGCUUAUGUUAUUUUACCUACGCUUAGGAUGUUGAUCUACAGAGCGAGAGU
rnacentral:rRNA from 1 species